rnacentral:rRNA from 1 species
GAUGAACGCUGGCGGCGUGCCUAAUACAUGCAAGUCGAGCGAACAGACGAGGAGCUUGCUCCUCUGACGUUAGCGGCGGACGGGUGAGUAACACGUGGAUAACCUACCUAUAAGACUGGGAUAACUUCGGGAAACCGGAGCUAAUACCGGAUAAUAUAUUGAACCGCAUGGUUCAAUAGUGAAAGACGGUUUUGCUGUCACUUAUAGAUGGAUCCGCGCCGCAUUAGCUAGUUGGUAAGGUAACGGCUUACCAAGGCAACGAUGCGUAGCCGACCUGAGAGGGUGAUCGGCCACACUGGAACUGAGACACGGUCCAGACUCCUAAGGGAGGCAGCAGUAGGGAAUCUUCCGCAAAGGGCGAAAGCCUGACGGAGCAACGCCGCGUGAGUGAUGAAGGUCUUCGGAUCGUAAAACUCUGUUAUUAGGGAAGAACAAAUGUGUAAGUAACUAUGCACGUCUUGACGGUACCUAAUCAGAAAGCCACGGCUAACUACGUG